rnacentral:lncRNA from 1 species
AACAUUUUACUUUUGAGAGUAUGAUGUGCAAAGCAAGUGUUUAGCAUCAAUGAAGCCAGGAGACAAUUAAGCUAUGUUAGACUAGUUUAGAGGUAGACAAUACUUAUCAGAUAGCUAAUUUAUCCUUCUUUAGCCAACUGACGAGACUCUGUGCUCUUUCCCAAUCCUACUCCUCUCAAAGAAGUGUCUACAAAUUAAACAGGGUUCUUAUGGGUACUAAUAAAGACCUAGAACAGACCCAGAAAACACCUAGCAGCAAGGGUUUGUUUUGCUUGCAAGAUGCAGAAUUGAUACUAAUUCAACACCAUCACGUGGUUGGAUGGACUU